GUGGCGAGUGGCGAACGGGUGAGUAAUACAUCGGAACGUGUCCUGGAGUGGGGGAUAGCCCGGCGAAAGCCGGAUUAAUACCGCAUACGAUCUCUGGAUGAAAGCGGGGGACCGAAAGGCCUCGCGCUCAAGGGGCGGCCGAUGGCAGAUUAGCUAGUUGGUGGGGUAAAGGCCUACCAAGGCGACGAUCUGUAGCUGGUCUGAGAGGACGACCAGCCACACUGGGACUGAGACACGGCCCAGACUCCUACGGGAGGCAGCAGUGGGGAAUUUUGGACAAUGGGGGCAACCCUGAUCCAGCAAUGCCGCGUGUGUGAAGAAGGCCUUCGGGUUGUAAAGCACUUUUGUCCGGAAAGAAAACCGCUUCUCUAAUACAGAGGUGGGAUGACGGUACCGGAAGAAUAAGCACCGGCUAACUACGUGCCAGCAGCCGCGGUAAUACGUAGGGUGCGAGCGUUAAUCGGAAUUACUGGGCGUAAAGCGUGCGCAGGCGGUUCGCUAAGACCGAUGUGAAAUCCCCGGGCUUAACCUGGGAACUGCAUUGGUGACUGGCGGGCUANAGUAUGGCAGAGGGGGGUAGAAUCCACGUGUAGCAGUGAAAUGCGUAGAGAUGUGGAGGAAUACCGAUGGCGAAGGCAGCCCCCUGGGCCAAUACUGACGCUCAUGCACGAAAGC
rnacentral:rRNA from 1 species